rnacentral:lncRNA from 1 species
CAAAUUUUACAGGAAGGGAUGUCAUUCUAAAUUUUCCACAAGAAAAUGCCUUUAAGAAUCGGUUGAUAUCGACAAAAAAUGAAAUUAUAUGACUCGAGGAGUGAGAAGUGCCAUGGCCCAUGACGUCCAUGCUUCAAAUGUGAAUACGAAGAACAAAGACAAAGUUUCAGAAACUAUAACAAGGUGUUUCCAACGUAAAGUCACAUCGAAAGCAUGUAAACUUUUAGCACUACAUCCUAGGAAUAACGAUGUAUGUUUGAAAAUAUUGUUUGGUUUUUGGUUAACACUAUGUCACUAAGCCUGAAGCCUCGAAUGAUGAAGUUUAAUUUUCGAUUGUUCGAACGUCAAGAACCCUUGUCAGUUUCGGGUGAGUUUCUUACUGUUCAUGUUGUUUUGGCUGUUUGGCAUGGAAGUUGCAGGAUAGUUUGGACUUAGGUUUAUAGAAGGCUAUAUCUUAAACCAAUGUAAAAUUUAUUUUUUUUACUUUUUUUAAGUUUAACGCCGGUUCCUGCAGACACGAAGAACAUAAACUGCGGAGAUUUUAGCCACUACAAAUCAAUUUAUAUCAAAUAUGUUUAUGUUCCAGGACGAAGUUAUCACGAAAAGAAAUUGUG